UGCUUCCUCUGCUGCUCCUUCCUCAGCUGCUUCCUCUGCUGCUCCUUCCUCAGCUGCUUCCUCAUCUGCUCCCUCUGCUGCUCCUUCCUCAGGAAAGAGAAGCCGAGAAGACCUCUGCCCCGAAGAGGUAAGUGCAAAGAGGUGCAAGGUAAGUGACACGUUCGAUGCCCCUUCAACAUCCUCAGGUUCUUUUGGAGUCAGACGUUUCUGGGAGAGGCCUUUUGACUUUUCUCUUGAUGACAGUGACUCUGAUUAGUUUAUGUUAGAACAUGUUUUUAAACUUUGUAACUCUUGUAUUAUUGUAUUGUAUUGUUUUUUUUGUUGAUAUGUGAUAUUAAUAUUACAUUGUAACUGAAAGGUAGUUUUGUAGUUGUUAUUAUUGUUAUUAGAUGGAGCUAACACCCCACCCAGAAGACAGCCUUACCCCGACCAACCCGAUGAGAAGGAUGGAUGACCAAGUGAAAAACUGGAGAGUGGUGCUGUGUUCCAACUAUGGAAGCUGAGCGUGGACAGAGCUGCACAGAGGACCAAAGAUCCACUCUCAGCACUUCAUACCUGACUGGCCACAGCACCACCCCUCCUCACCUGGGUGAGGAGGGCCC